UCCGAUACAAGUUGUGUUUGUAAAUAUUUGUUUUCGUUUAAGAUUAGAGAUAGAUCCUAGUCGGUUAGGAAAUCAGUUGUAACAGGCUGUAAAUAGCCAUCUCUAGAGAUUUGUAAAACAACACAUCAAUCAAUACAAACAACUUAUUUUUUCAUCGUACUUUACUUUCAAGUCGGCGACUUCGCCAAUACAUCUUUUUCUUUCACGAGUUCGUAC
rnacentral:lncRNA from 1 species